UACAGAGGGUGCGAGCGUUUAAUCGGAAUUACUGGGCGUAAAGCGCGCGUAGGCGGCUUUGCAAGUCGGGUGUGAAAUCCCCAGGCUCAACCUGGGAACUGCAUUCGAAACUGCAUUGCUAGAGUAUGGGAGAGGGAAGUGGAAUUUCCGGUGUAGCGGUGAAAUGCGUAGAUAUCGGAAGGAACAUCAGUGGCGAAAGCGACUUCCUGGACCAAUACUGACGCUCAUGUGCGAAAGCGUGGGGAGCAAACAGG
rnacentral:rRNA from 1 species